rnacentral:rRNA from 1 species
UAAGCACUGGAAACGGUGUCUAAUACCGGAUACGAGCUUCAGCCGCAUGGCUAGGAGCUGGAAAGAAUUUCGGUCUGGGAUGGACUCGCGGCCUAUCAGCUAGUUGGUGAGGUAAUGGCUCACCAAGGCGACGACGGGUAGCCGGCCUGAGAGGGUGACCGGCCACACUGGGACUGAGACACGGCCCAGACUCCUACGGGAGGCAGCAGUGGGGAAUAUUGCACAAUGGGCGCAAGCCUGAUGCAGCAACGCCGCGUGAGGGACGACGGCCUUCGGGUUGUAAACCUCUUUUAGUAGGGAAGAAGCGAAAGUGACGGUACCUGCAGAAAAAGCACCGGCUAACUACGUGCCAGCAGCCGCGGUAAUACGUAGGGUGCAAGCGUUAUCCGGAAUUAUUGGGCGUAAAGAGCUCGUAGGCGGUUUGUCGCGUCUGCUGUGAAAACUGGAGGCUCAACCUCCAGCCUGCAGUGGGUACGGGCAGACUAGAGUGCGGUAGGGGAGAUUGGAAUUCCUGGUGUAGCGGUGGAAUGCGCAGAU